rnacentral:rRNA from 1 species
UACGUAGGGGGCAAGCGUUGUCCGGAUUUAUUGGGCGUAAAGAGCGUGUAGGCGGCCAUACAGGUCCGUUGUGAAAACUGGAGGCUUAACCUCCAGACGUCGAUGGAAACCGUAUGGCUAGAGUCCGGAAGAGGAGAGUGGAAUUCCGAGUGUAGAGGUGAAAUUCGUAGAUAUUCGGAAGAACACCAGUGGCGAAGGCGGCUCACUGGACUGGUAUUGACGCUGAGGUGCGAAAGCGUGGGGAGCAAACAGG